CGAAGGCAGUUGUGGCUCUGAGCGCAUAGGCGAGGCAUUCCUGGGGUUUGCGCCGUAUCCUUUUACAAAGUCCUGGCUUUGGCUGGUGCGACCAAAGAAAGGAAACCGGCGCUUGAGACUUGUCUGGGCUGGCUAUGGUGAAGCAGUGAAACGGUGCAGAAUUGUGUCAAUGAGGCUAGUUCAGUUGUGCAAGAGCAUUUCCUCAAAGUAAGACAGAAGCUUUUAGUUACGUCAACACCUGCUAAUGUUAGGCUGGCCAGAAAUUUCCUGACAAAUAAUGGGUGAAGGUCGGGCGUGUGGUCGCUCAUGCCUGUAAUCUCAGCGCUUUGGGAUCACUUGAGGUCAGGAGUUCGAGACCAGCUUGGCCAACUAGGCGAAACCCCAUCUCUACUGAAAGUACAAAAAUUAGCCGUGUGUGGUGGCGCGCAUCUGUAAUCCCAGCUACUCUGGAGGCUGAGGCAGGACAAUCGCUUGAACCCAGGAGGCAGAGGUUGCAGUGAGCUGAGAUCACGCCACUUAAAAGAAACGAAACUUUGCUGGUGACCAUGUGGUGAUGAAACUGAGCGUUUUGGAGCGCAGCAAGGUGACUCCCCAUGUAAUUAGUAUAGACAGAGAGUUUGUGCUCUAAAGGUUAGAAAUAAAUGUUUUCGGCCUGGUGGCUCAUGCCUGUAAUCCCAGGACUUUGAAAGGCUGAGCCAGGCGGAUCACCUGAGGUCAGGGUUCGAGACCAGCCUGGCCAACAUGGUGAAACCCGUCUCUAUUAAAGAUACAAAAAUUAGCCAGGCGGAAGAAGUCACUUAGCUCUUCGCUGGUUGUCACACGUCCGGAGGCCGAGCCGUCGCGUACCUAGGAUACCUGGAAGCCGAAGCCACACCUCCCGCAUGGCCCCUCCGGCCAGCCGGGCCCCUCAGAUGAGAGCUGCACCCAGGCCAGCACCAGUCGCUCAGCCACCAGCAGCGGCACCGCCAUCUACAGUUGGCUCUUCUGCUGCUGCGCCCCGGCAGCCAGGUCUGAUGGCCCAGAUGGCAACCACUGCAGCUGGCGUGGCUGUGGGCUCUGCUGUGGGGCACAUACUGGGUCAUGCCAUUACUGGGGGCUUCAGUGGAGGAAGUAAUGCUGAGCCUGCGAGGCCUGACAUCACUUACCAGGAGCCUCAGGGAACCCAGCCGGCACAGCAGCAGCAGCCUUGCUUCUGUGAGAUCAAACAGUUUCUGGAGUGUGCCGAGAACCAGGGUGACAUCAAGCUCUGUGAGGGUUUCAAUGAGGUGCUGAAACAGUGCCGACUUGCAAACGGAUUGGCCUAAUCAAGAAGUUCAACCUGGAGAGAUGGAAAAUCAGCUCUCAUACUAAUUAAUUUAGUAUAAAAAUAGAAUUGGUAGUGAGGGUAUAAAGUGUAAGCAUCAGUUAAACUUCUCCUGUCAUUCCUAGCUUCCUUGCUUCAGAAUUGAAAUGGAAGGGAGGGUGUUCCUACUCUGUAGAAUCUGGGACUGGGCAAAUGUUUGUGUGGCCUCCUUAAACUAGCUGUUAUGAUUUUAUUCUUUGUGAGUUAAUUAGAAUAAAGUCAUUUUCUUCCAAAAAAGAAAAAAAAAAUAGCCAGGCAUGGUGGUGCACGCCUUUAAUCCCAGCUACUAGGGAGUCCGAGGCAGGAGAAUCGCUUGAACCUGGGAGGCAGAGGUUGCAGUGAGCCGAGGUGUGCCACUGCACUCCAGCCUGGGCAACAGGAUGAGACUCCGUCUCAAAAAAAAAAAUAAUAAAUAUUUUCACUCCACAACUGUCUUCCAAUUUGGAGAGUCUGCC
rnacentral:lncRNA from 1 species